rnacentral:tRNA from 1 species
GGAUUGUAGUUCAGUGGUAGAGCACUUGCUUUGCAUGCAUGAGGCACUGGGUUCGUUCCUCAGCACCA